GUGAACGCUGGCGGUAGGCCUAACACAUGCAAGUCGAACGGCAGCACAGUAAGAGCUUGCUCUUACGGGUGGCGAGUGGCGGACGGGUGAGGAAUACAUCGGAAUCUACUUUUUCGUGGGGGAUAACGUAGGGAAACUUACGCUAAUACCGCAUACGACCUACGGGUGAAAGCAGGGGAUCUUCGGACCUUGCGCGAUUGUAUGAGCCGAUGUCGGAUUAGCUAGUUGGCGGGGUAAAGGCCCACCAAGGCGACGAUCCGUAGCUGGUCUGAGAGGAUGAUCAGCCACACUGGAACUGAGACACGGUCCAGACUCCUACGGGAGGCAGCAGUGGGGAAUAUUGGACAAUGGGCGCAAGCCUGAUCCAGCCAUACCGCGUGGGUGAAGAAGGCCUUCGGGUUGUAAAGCCCUUUUGUUGGGAAAGAAAAGCAGCAGGUUAAUACCCCGCCGUUCUGACGGUACCCAAAGAAUAAGCACCGGCUAACUUCGUG
rnacentral:rRNA from 1 species